UACGGGGGGGUAAGCGUUGUUCGGAAUUACUGGGCGUAAAGGGCUCGUAGGCGGCCAACUAAGUCAGACGUGAAAUCCCUCAGCUUAACUGGGGAACUGCGUCUGAUACUGGAUGGCUUGGAUCCGGAAGAGGGAUGCGGAAUUCCAGGUGUAGCGGUGAAAUGCGUAGAUAUCUGGAGGAACACCGGUGGCGAAGGCGGCAUCCUGGGCCGGUAUUGGACGCUGAGGAGCGAAAGCCAGGGGAGCAACGGG
rnacentral:rRNA from 1 species